rnacentral:rRNA from 1 species
UACGAAGGGGGCUAGCGUUGCUCGGAAUUACUGGGCGUAAAGGGCGCGUAGGCGGAUAUUUAAGUUAGAGGUGAAAGCCCAGGGCUCAACCCUGGAAUAGCCUUUAAUACUGGAUAUCUUGAGUUCGGGAGAGGUGAGUGGAACUCCGAGUGUAGAGGUGAAAUUCGUAGAUAUUGGGAAGAACACCGGUGGCGAAGGCGGCUCACUGGCUCAUUACUGACGCUCAGGCGCGAUAGCGUGGGGAUCAAACAGG